AUGGAAAGGUGGAAUAGUCACGUGCGCGCUAGACUGUUCCAGAGAGAUUUUACACAAAAGGACCCAUUCAGUGGUGUCUUCAACACCUUGUCCAAAUUAGCGGAGCGGCUUGACCUAAGGGAGACAUUUUGGGAUGAGUUACAGAGACCCAGUUCUGAAGGAUAUGGUGGAAUGACAGCUGACCACAGAGAAUUACACCUCAACCUCAGAGGAGUGAACAUAUAACAGAAAAGCUCCCUCGGACAGUUUCUGACCUGACCACCGUCAUGUACCUGAAAGACGCAGAGCUUCAAUACUGCCACUCACAGUAAGUGAUCAACCAUUGAAAUCUGUUCAUAAAUUAAUGUUAUGGUACAGUAGUCUAUAUGGUUUAAUAAUGGAUCCAUGACAUUGUCUACAAAGAUACUGAAACUGAGAGGGCUCUUAGUUGUGAG
rnacentral:lncRNA from 8 species